AUUGAACGCUGGCGGAAUGCUUUACACAUGCAAGUCGAACGGUAGAGGGGGCAACCCCUCGAGAGUGGCGAACGGGUGAGUAAUAUAUCGGAACGUGCCCAGUCGUGGGGGAUAACGUAGCGAAAGUUACGCUAAUACCGCAUACGAUCUAAGGAUGAAAGCGGGGGAUCGCAAGACCUCGCGCGAUUGGAGCGCCGAUAUCAGAUUAGGUAGUUGGUGGGGUAAAGGCUCACCAAGCCAACGAUCUGUAGCUGGUCUGAGAGGACGACCAGCCAGACUGGAACUGAGACACGGUCCAGACUCCUACGGGAGGCAGCAGUGGGGAAUUUUGGACAAUGGACGCAAGUCUGAUCCAGCCAUUCCGCGUGCAGGAUGAAGGCCCUCGGGUUGUAAACUGCUUUUGUACGGAACGAAAAGGUCUCUCUUAAUACGGGGGGCUCAUGACGGUACCGUAAGAAUAAGCACCGGCUAACUACGUGCCAGCAGCCGCAGUAA
rnacentral:rRNA from 1 species